UGACCACUCUUUACCGAGUUAUGGCCAUACGGACAGCCGGGUCAGAUGCCGA
rnacentral:sRNA from 12 species